GAAAAUUCCAGAAUCUAACAGGACAGGGAGGUUGGCAGAAGGAUCUGUGCGAACUAACAAGCGCGAACACGGUCAGGAGGGUCAGGUCUGUGGUUAGGAAAAAGGAGAGAGAGGUUGAGAGCAGGCACCGGGGACUGCGGUCCGUCCGCGCCUUGCAGGCCACCCCCGCCCACACCAGCAGCACCUGCUGGGUAAAUGAGGGCCCAGGCCUGUUCCAGACACAGGGAGCUUCCUUCCUGUGAGAACAUCUUUUUGUCCUUGAGCGGGUGGUGAUAGAUAGAGAAACCAGCUCAGAGAAGGGAGCUGGACUCCCCCUCUGGGUGCUGGGCAAGUCCCUCUACCUCAGUGCUCUCAUCUGAAGAAGUAUCUGCAGAGGCAGCUGAGAGGGGUACAUUGGACGAGGUGUGUGGACACAGGCUCGGCGUUGCCGUGAGCCAGCAUCUGCUUGCUUCCUAGGCCGGUCCUGCUCCGGGGCCUCCUGUCCUCUGUGAGGCUUGGAUGGAACUGACCCCCCUCCCCACUUCACUUGGUCCUUUGGAGUGGGCCAAGACAAUCAGCGUAUCCCAUCCUCCUGGCCACAGUGUUUGGUUUAGGGAAGGGGCAUGUGACCCAAGCCAGACCAAUCAGAAAGGACCUUGGGACUUUUGCAGGGAAUGCCUGGCCCCAGACAUGCUCCCCCAGUGUGUUCCACAGGAAGCAUGUGGUCUCAGGAACUGUUAGAUGUUCUCACAGGGAGUCCUGGAUUCAGCCGUACCUGAAGCUGGACGGCUCCAUGAGCUAACAUAUUUCUUGUUUGCCGAAGCCAUGCUGGCUUAUCCUCAGCCACUAUUCAACAAAGCCUCUCCCAUCCCACCAAAUCACCAGCUCAUUUGACAUUGAGAUUCCCUUCUCCUAAGUGCUGACUCCGGGAUGGGAAUUUCCACCUCCAGCCUGCUCCAUCCUCCCAGCAGCAGCAAGGAGCAGGUUGUGGAGCACAGCCGGCCUAGCCCUUGCUGCCUGACAUCGCCCCUCCCCUACUCAGGAGCUCCGUGUUCUCACCUUGCUAUUAAGCAUUGCCAGGAGCCAGCCUCCGCUCAGCUCUGGGCCCUGUGCAUCAGGCUCGGAGCUGCAUUAAAUAAAGACUGCAGCCCUGAAACUGCUCAAAUGGAUCUACAUCAACGAGAACAGCCAGGGGAGGCCUUUAAAUAGAUUAUCACCAAGAGCCAGCCAGAGCAGGCAAAGUUUGCCUUAGGCAUCAUUCCCUACCUCCCAACCCUCCCCCUACCCCUUCCUGGGCCUCUCCUGCCCUUCCUCGGUCUGCUUUGAGCAUGCCUCACCCCAGACCCUGUCAUAAAUUAGUUCACACAUUCAUGGCUUAAUAUGUUACUCCUCUAGUUUGAAAAGAACAGAAUGCAGGAGUGGGCAGUGUUUAACCUAGGGAUGAGCUCAGCAAUAAUGGAAUUCUAGGGAUCCUAAAACCAUGACAGAUCAUGAAAUACACGUUUGGAGACAGAGGAACAUCUCCAGCCUCCCUCAAGCAACCACUGAGCCCCCACUGUCCCCAGAAUUUCUUUCACUGACCACAAACACUAAGUCCUUUCCUUUCUUCUCAGAGGCUGUACCUCGAAGUCCAAUCCGUGCAUAUUCCACUUCAGAUUCACAGGAACUUGCAAAAAUAGUACAGAGAGGUGCCGUGUACCCUGCACUGGGUUUCUCCCAGUGGUUCUAUCUUACAUAACUCUAGUACAAUACCAGACCAGGAAACCCACAUUGGCACAGGGUAUGCAUACGGCUCUACGUCAUUUUGUCACAUGUGGAGAUCAUGAAGCCACCACAGCACUCAAGAUCUAGACCUGUUCCAUCCCCGUGAAGAUGUCACACCCACCUCCACCCUCCACCAGCCCUAGCUCCCAGCAGCCACCAGCCUGCUUGCCAUCUCUAUAAUUCUGCCGUGUGUGGAGUGUUAUGCCCAGGAAAUCAUAGAAUAUGUUUUGAGACUGGCUGUUCUCACAAAGGUCUUAUCCUUAUCUUCAGCAUGUAUUGAGAGCCUACUGUGUAUCAGGCACAUAUUUGUCCCUUUCAGGAAUACAGCACAUACAACUCCUUGAUUGCAAAUGACAGAACCCAACUCAGGCUCUGUUAUAAAAGGCAAUGUAUUGGCAUCGAUUACUGAAAAGUCCAGAAGUGGAGCUGGCUUCAGGCCCAGCUGGAUCCAGGGGCUUGUUAGGACUGCUCUUAUUCUCCGUGCUUUGGCUCUGCUCUCCUCUCUGCUGGUUUUCCUCACAGGCGGGCUCUCACCACAUGGCAGCCACCAGUAGCUCUAGCUCAUAGCCUGCUCACUCUCACAGUGAGCAAGGAGCACCCCUUCCUUAGAAAAGUUCCAGCACGCUGGGCGUGGCAGAGUAUGCCUGUAAUCCCCGCACUUUGGGAGGCUGAGGCAGGAGGAUCACUUGAGCCCAGGAGUUUGAGGCUGCAGGGAACUGUGGUUGCACCACUGCACUCCAGCCUGUGCAACAGAGUGAGACCCUGUCUCAAAAAAAAUUUAAAAAAGGGGCUGGGUGUGGCGGCUCACGCUCGUAAUCCCACCACUUUGGGAGGCCGAGGUGGGAGGAUCACGAGGUCGGGAGUUUGAGACCAGCUUGGCCAUCACAGUGGCCCAUCCCCACUAAAAAUACCAAAAUUAGCUGGGCGUGGAGGCGGGCGCCUGUAAUCCCAGCUACUUGGGAGGCUGAGGCAGGGGAAUUAUUUGAACCUGGGAGGUGGAGGUUGCAGUGAGUUGGGAACACGCCACUGCACUCCAGCCUGGGCGACAGAGCUGGACUCCGUCUCAAAAAAAAAAAAAAAAGAAAGAAAGAAAGAAAGAAAGAAAGGAAAAGGGAGUGGGGUGGCGGGCAAUGGAGGGGAGGGGAGGGGAGGGGAGGGGAGGGGAGCUAAGUUCAGCAAAGGUUCUGGCCCUGACUAGCCCAGCUUGGCACCCACCUGACCCCAAGCCAAGCACUGAAGUGGGGGUGGGGCUGAGUUUGCAGUGCUUGGAUUGUCUCAUCUUUGGUCACAUGUCUUCUCCUGUCAGCCCUUCCCAAAUCUCAGGGAUUGAGAAGGGGCUUAAGGAAAAUUUGGGAUGCUGUUGUCAGAGGAAGGGGUGCUAUUCCAGGCUGGCCUGAGGGGUAGGUGAUGGUAUUGUACUACCUCAGUGCAACUGGUUUAAUUUUCAAAAUAUGUGCAGGAAGUCAGGCUGGGAAAGGCUAAGUAACCUACCCAGAUUCAGAGCUCUGGGUCCAGCCCUGCAGGGCCUCGGACCCCGGGCUUGUGACUCUUGUUUGCUCCCAGGCUGCCUCCCGCCCCCACACCCUUCUGAAAUGCCCACACUCUUCCUACUUCCACGCUCAGAUGCAGAAUUGAAAGGCUCUGGCAUCCAGCAGAGCUGGGUUCAUACCCAGCCUUGAUACCAGGCAUCUCCGUUUCUGCCUCAGCCUGGCUGUGGCCUUUGUCUCUCUGAGUCUCUUUGGUUUCUUUGAGACUCGUCCAGUGGACCACCGGACCCUCCAAGGCCGCGGGGGAGGCCUCCAGUGGGGCUGUCCUUGAGGGGCCCCUCCUGGGAUGCAGGCUGGCACCAAGCCGCUCACAGUCACAUCCCCACGCGUGUGCCGGCUCUGGCACCCGCUCCACGCGUGGGCUGCCACGUGGCUCCGAAAGAGCCAGGAAGGAGACGGCCACCGUCCAACAGGGAGGACAGGCAGAUGGAGAGGGUGACUCAGCACGGGGGCCAGAUGUGGCCAGAUGAGAAGAGUAAACACGAAGGCCAGACCUGCUGAGGCCCCCUCAGAGCUGGGCAGGGAUGGUGGGGGCCGAGCGGUGACAGACGGACGGGAGAUGGGGCUGGGGGAGAUGGAUGGCACCAGCAGGCUCAGCCGAGUGAGGAAAGCCAGACAGAUGGUCUCGUUAAAGAAGCCAGCCCGCGUGAGGGAACAGGGCUCCGCGCAGGAGUGGGGGACAAGGCAGGCUCCUCCUUGAGAGGGGCUCCUCCGGCCUGGGCCAUUCCACCUGUGCUGGGCCCUGUCCUCAUUCUGUCUGGAGUGGCCACCAGGUGUGGGCAGGCCUUUCUCUUGGGUCUGUCUCAGGUGUCUUCACUGCUGGCUUAAAAGCCCAGGCACAGCAGGUGGGACGGGAAGCCCCAUCCCAGGACAAUCCCCCUCCAUCCUUACUGCCGCCAACACGCUUUUCUGAGCUCCUGCCACCCAGACACGCAUGGCUAUUGAGCUGCAUCACCCCCACGUUGCAGUUGCUGUCCCCUCCACUUGGAGCCGUCUCCCUCAGUCCCCAAUCACCUCCUCCGAGAGGUCCUCCUUGACCGCCCCAUCUGAAGCAGCUCCAUCACUCCUGAGCCCAGGGCACCGCUGUGGUUCCUCCCAGCCUCACUGCCUUCUGCACGUGCCCCAUUCAUUUCCUCAUCGGCUUCAUCCCCCCGCUAAAACAGGUGAUCCUCUGGGAUAGGGGCUGGGUCUGUCUCAUUCUCAGCUGUGUCCCAGGCCCCGGAACCUGGUAGGUGCUUGAUAAAUGUGUGUGGGCUGAAUCUUCACAGCCCGGGCCUGCCCUGCCCUCCUCUCCCCGUCCCCGCUUGCUCUCCUUAGCGCGCUUCACUGCCUCCCACAUCACGUACCCGGCUUCUUCACUCUCCCUCACUAGGAUGGGAGCUUCAGGAAAGAAGCAGUUUUUGUCUGUAUGUCCAGUGCUUUGUUAGUUCCAUGAAUGGUCCUGGGGUGGAUACCGUCACCUGAGGAAGUGGAGGGGUGCAGGAAGGAGCCUGCCUUGCAGAGGACGAGGAAGGACCAGAGCAAGGCGCCUGUAUGUUUCCAGACGGGGGAGAUUUGACACCAGAAGUGGGAGCUGUGACAACAGAAGCAAGAGGUUGGAGUGAUGUAAGGAAGUGGAAUUCUGCCGAAGAAUGCAGGCAGCUCCGGAAGCUACAGAAGUCCGGGAAAUGGAUCCUCCCUCCAACCUCCAGCAGGAGCCAACCUGCCAACACCUUGACUUUAGCCCAGUGACAAUGAUUUUGGACUUCUGGCUUCCAGAGCUGUAAGAG
rnacentral:lncRNA from 10 species